GAUGAACGCUGGCGGCGUGCUUAACACAUGCAAGUCGAGCGAAGCACUUUACUUAGAUUUCUUCGGGAUGAAGAGUUUUGUGACUGAGCGGCGGACGGGUGAGUAACGCGUGGGUAACCUGCCUCAUACAGGGGGAUAACAGUUAGAAAUGACUGCUAAUACCGCAUAAGACCACAGCACCGCAUGGUGCAGGGGUAAAAACUCCGGUGGUAUGAGAUGGACCCGCGUCUGAUUAGCUGGUUGGUGGGGUAACGGCCUACCAAGGCAACGAUCAGUAGCCGGCCUGAGAGGGCGACCGGCCACAUUGGGACUGAGACACGGCCCAAACUCCUACGGGAGGCAGCAGUGGGGAAUAUUGCACAAUGGGGGAAACCCUGAUGCAGCUACGCCGCGUGAAGGAAGAAGUAUUUCGGUAUGUAAACUUCUAUCAGCAGGGAAGAAAAUGACGGUACCUGACUAAGAAGCCCCGGCUAACUACGUGCCAGCCGCCGCGGUAA
rnacentral:rRNA from 1 species